AUGUCUACUAACUCUAAUUUUUCUAAGAUUUCAUUCACUUCUCUUACCUCUUUCUUAUUUAUUUUUUGGUUUGAUUUAUCUAGUUCAGAUAGAGGAAGGUUCAGGUCUCCCACUAAUAUUGUUUUUCUAUCUAUUUCAUCCUUGAGCUCCACUAGUUUCUCCUUUAGAAAUUUAGAUGCUAUGCCAUUUGGUGCAUACAUGUCGAGUACAGAUAUUUCCUCAUUGUCUAUACUGUCUUUUAUCAGGACACUGUUCCCUCUAAGUGUAAUUCUUCUAGCUGCCCAGGUGAUAACAACAGUUUUUGAGUUACCAAUGACCUCUUUUCUUAUAGGGAUACAUAUCAUUUUAACUCAUUGAGUCUCUUAAAAUUUGUUUUGUUUUUCUUUUUUCCCUCUUUUUAAAUUACCUUUUUAUGAUUCUCUUGAGUUCUGUGCUUGGGUAUCAAAUUUUCUAUUCAGGUCUGGUCUUUUCUUUGCAAAUUCUUAGAAUUCUUCUAUUUUGUUGAAUGACCAUACUUUCCCCUGUAAGAAUAUAGUCAGUUUUGCUGGGUAGUUGAUUCUUGGUUGUAGACCUAGUUUCCUUGCUUUCUGGAAUAUCAUAUUCCAUGCCUUUCGGUCCUUCAGUGUGGAUGCAGCCGGAUCAUGCAUUAUCCUCACUGGGGUUCCAUGGUAUAUGAAUGACUUCUUCUUGGCAGCUUGUAAUAUCUUUUCUUUGGUCUAAUAGUUCUUGAAUUUAGCUAUAACAUUCCUGGGUGUUGUCAGUUGGGGAUUAAGUACAGGAGGUGAUCUGUGGAUUCUUUCAAUCUCCACUUUUCCCUCUUGUUCUAGAGUAUCGGGGCAGUUUUCUUGAAUAAUUUCCUGUAGUAUUGUGUCCAGGCUUUUUCUUUUGUCAUGGUCUUCUAGUAGACUAAUGAUUCUUAAAUUGUCUCUCCUCAACCAAUUUUCUAAACCCUGUUUUGUGAAUGAGAUGCUUCAUAUUUUCCUCAAUUUUUUCAUUCUUUUGGUUUUGUUUUAUAGUUUCCUGCUGCCUUGUGAGGUCACUUAAUUCUAGUUGUUGUAUUCUGGUUCUUAAAAACUGGAUUUCAUCCCUGGAUUUUUGGUCAUCCUUCUCUUUCUGGUCAUCUUUCAUCCUCUUUGCUUCAUCUUUCAUUUCCUUUGCCUCAUUUUCCAGCUGAUUGAUUUUGGCUUUCAAGACACUGUUUUCUGUUUCCAGAUGACUUAUUUUGCUGUUAAAGUUGUCUUCAACCUCUCUUAACUGUGUUUUGAAUUACAUUUUGAGUUCUUCCACAGCCUGUAUCCAAUUUGCCGGGAUUUCUGAUUUAUCGUUUGCUGAACCCUCCCCCUCUGUCCUGUUCGUU
rnacentral:lncRNA from 1 species